UAAUGUUGUAGAAAGAGAAAUGUUAACUAAUCGUUGCUUACUUAGCUUAAUUUGUCGUACCAGCUCCAUUCUAUGAUUUAAUAUUGCUUGUCAUAUGUUUGUUGCAAACGGCAUAUGAAUAUCCUAAAAUCUAAUAACUGUUAGCAAUAGCAGACUACACUGUACUGCAUCACUACAUCGCACGUUAUAAAUUUACCUAUUCACUGUAACUAAGAGAUGAUGUUGAUAAUGGAUUUGCGAGCCGAAAGAUAACUAAUUACAAAUUAUAAAAGGUACCCAAUUGGUUUCCCUUCUUCCUUUCAGAUAUUUCAAUCAUAAUUUAUAAUAGCAUAUUCCUUUGGAUGAACUACAAUUGAACUGUUCAUACUACCUUACAUAACGAAAAUAGAAGAUCGCAAGAAACUUAACGGUGUUCUAACGGAAAGAUAAACUAGGUUACGAAAGUGAACACUUCAUAACUUAGUACGAAGUGUAAAAUAAGUCGAUAAAAAAGCAUUGCUCCAGCAGUGACUCGAACACUGGGCCUCUUGCUUACUAGGCAAGCGCUCUACCA